rnacentral:rRNA from 1 species
CCUGGUUGAUCCUGCCAGUAGUCAUAUGCUUGUCUCAAAGAUUAAGCCAUGCAUGUCCAAGUACAAGCCUCACUAAGGUGAAACCGCGAAUGGCUCAUUAAAUCACACCUAAUCUACUGGAUAGUUAACAGGUACUUGGAUACCUGCGGUAAUUCUGGAGCUAAUACAUGCGAAAAGCCUCGAACUUACGUGAGAGGCGCUUUUAUUAGAUCAAAACCAAUCGGCUUCGGCUGUACUCUUGGUGACUCUGAAUAACUUUGGGCUGAUCGUAUAGCCUUGCGCUGACGACAUAUCCUUCGAAGGUGUGCCCUAUCAACUGUCGACUGUGGCAUAGACGCCCACAGUGGUUUGACGGGUAACGGGGAAUCAGGGUUCGAUUCCGGAGAGGGAGCCUUAAAAACGGCUACCACAUCUAAGGAAGGCAGCAGGCACGCAAAUUACCCAAUGAUCGAAGAUCGAGGUAGUGACGAAAAAUAACGAUCCAGGACUCAUCCGAGGCCCUGGAAUCGGAAUGAGUACACUUUAAAACCGUCCCCGAGGAUCUAUUGGAGGGCAAGUCUGGUGCCAGCAGCCGCGGUAAUUCCAGCUCCAAUAGCGUAUAUUAAAGUUGUUGUGGUUAAAAAGCUCGUAGUUGGAUCUCGGCGGACUGAGGGCGGUUUGCUUGCUAGUAUUACUGCCCUAUAGUCCGUAGUUUUGCCAGAGGUUUCGGGGUGCUCUUAAUCGAGUGUCCCGGGAUGCUGGCAGGUUUACUUUGAAAAAUUAGAGUGCUCAAAGCAGGCUAUUACGCCUGAAUAUUCGUGCAUGGAAUAAUAGAAUAGGAAGUCGUUUCUAUUUUGUUGGUUUUCGGAAAUCGACUUAAUGAUUAAUAGGGACAGUCGGGGGCAUUUGUAUUCAAACGACAGAGGUGAAAUUCUUGGACCGUUUGAAGACAAACUACUGCGAAAGCAUUUGCCAAGAAUGUUUUCAUUAAUCAAGAACGAAAGUUAAAGGUUCGAAGGCGAUUAGAUACCGCCCUAGUUUUAACCAUAAACGAUGCCAGCUAGCGAUCUGCGGACGUUUUUUUGUAGACUCCGCAGGAAGCUUCCGGGAAACCAAAGCAUUUGGGUUCCAGGGGAAGUAUGGUUGCAAAGCUGAAACUUAAAGGAAUUGACGGAAGGGCACCACCAGGAGUGGAGCCUGUGGCUUAAUU